GGUUAAUAUCGAAAUCAAUUCUGAUAUAUAUCGUUCGUGAAAAAUUCAACCAUGAGGAUAACCAGUAUUUUUAUCCUUUUUAUUAUCUGUAUGGUGCUGAUUGUGAGCGUCAUUUCAGCGCCUUGUGGAGGGGGAGGAGGCGGAGGGCGAAGAUAUAGACGCCCCAGAUAUCCAUAUUGGUAUUACGGCUGGCCACCUCCACCACUCCCUGCAGCAAAUACAUCUCCUCCUCCUCCUCCUCCUCCUCCUCCUCCUCCUCCUCC